GCUGCCUGGAGGCGCCCAGCAGGCCUGCCCACCAGCUGCCCUAUUCCUGCCCUGCAGUCUCCCCUGGGUGCGCCUCCCCGCGUCCAUCACCUGGACCAUCAGCCCUGCAGGGCUCCGAAGAGCGGCCUGAGAAGUCAUCCUCACCCUCCGGACCUGAUCCAGGGCCAAAGGGCCAAAGGCGGGAAUAGGAAGCCUGCUGCUAGGGACAGCUGCCCGAGGGAACUCAGGAUCCAUGCAAGUGCAAAAAAUCUGCCCCCCAAAGGCUCAGGAUAUGGAACAAUGGACCGGUUCCAAAUUGGGAAGGGAGUACGUCAAGGCUGUAUAUCGCCACCAUGCUUAUUUAACGUCUAUGCAGAGCACAUUAUGAGAAACGCCAGGCUGGAUGAAUCACAAGCUGGAAUCAAGAUUGCCAGAAGAGAUGUCAAUAACCUCAGAUAGGCAGGUGACACCACACUUAUGAAGAAAGCAAAGAGGAGCUAAAGAGCCUCUUGAUGAAAGUGAAAGAGGAGAGUGAAAAAGUAGGCUUAAAGCUCAACAUUCAAAAAAUUAAGAUUAUGGCAUCCAGUCCCAUCACUUCAUGGUGAAUAGACGGGGAAAAAGUGGAAACAGACUAUUCUCUUGGGCUCCAAAAUCAAUGGGCACAGUGAGUGCAGCCUUGAAAUUAAAAGACACUUGCUCCUUGGAAGAAAAGCUAUGACCAACAAAGACAGCAUAUUAAAAAGGAGAGAUGUUAAUUUGCCAACAAAGGUCCGUAUAGUCAAAGCUUUGGUUUUUUCCAGUGGUCAUGUAUGGAUGUGAGAGUUGUACUAUAAAGAAGGCUGAGCGCCGAAGAAUUGAUGCUUUUGAACUGUGGUGUUGGAGAAGACUCUUGAGAGUUGCUUGGACUGCAAGGAGAUCAAACCAGUCCAUCCUGAAGGAAACCAACCCUGAAUGUCCAUUGGAAGGACUGAUGUUGGUGGUGAAGCUCCAAUACUUGGCCACCUGAUGCGAAGAACUGACUCACUGGAAAAGACCCUGAUGCUGGGGAAGAUUGAAGGCAGGAGGAGAAGGGACGACAGAGGAUGAGAUGGUUGGAUGGCAUCACCGACUCAAUGGACGUGAGUUUGAGCAAGCUCCGGGAGUUGGUGAUGGACAGGGAGGCCUGGAGUGCUGCAGUCCAUGGGGUCACAGAGUUGGACACGACUGAGCAACUGAACAGUAACACACGGGCUUAGGAAUGCUCCUUUUUUCUUGGCCUAAAUAAAUCCACUGUGAAAAAGGUGUGUCUUCUCA
ensembl:lncRNA